GAUAAAUAAUACGCUCCAGAUGUUUCUGCCUUCCAGCAGUCACCUUGCGGCAACUCUCCUCACCCCAGCAAGGCUGCAGCCACAGUCGAUUAUAACUCUUCUUUUUGGAAUCGUCCUCAGGGGGCACUCGGACGCUCGGGCCCUCCUCUCCCUAGCGCACAGGCUCAAGCAGAGACCUUGGUCCACUCCUGUCUGAUCGCAGCCGCUCCCCGCGAGCUGGACAGAUGUGCCUGAGAAGGAGGUGUGACAGAUGUGUCUGAGAAAGAAGUCUGACUGGAAAUUGAGGAGAAAUCCCUAACAGAAGGCAAAGGAACAGCGUGCAAGGAACUCAAAUCCCCAAGUGACCAGGCAGA